CAGUAGCCGCGGUAAUGCGUAGGGGGCAAGCGUUAUCCGGAAUUACUGGGUGUAAAGGGAGCGUAGACGGUUAAACAAGUCUGAAGUGAAAUGCCGGGGCUCAACCCCGGGGCUGCUUUGGGAACUGUAGAACUGGAGUGUCGGAGGGGUAAGCGGAAUUCCCAGUGUAGCGGUGAAAUGCGUAGAUAUUGGGAGGAACACCAGCGGCGAAGGCGGCUUACUGGACGACAACUGACGUUGAGGCUCGAAGGCGUGGGUAGCAAACAGGAUUAGAUACCCCUGUAGUCCCUGUCUCUUAUAC
rnacentral:rRNA from 1 species